UCUUAUGGAUAAGCAAAGAAAGUGGUCUCGUGAGAUGGAAUCUACUCCUAGUGGAGAUGCUGUGAA
rnacentral:pre_miRNA from 1 species